rnacentral:RNase_P_RNA from 1 species
GCAACAGCCCGUUCUAUCGCUGGUUUCGUCACUUGUGGCGCGAUUCGGAGGAAAGUCGGGACAACUCAGGGCACCAUACUUCCUAACGGGAAGGCUUCGCGGCUGAACACCGUGAAGACAGACAGUUCCACAGAAAAGAUACCGUCUCGUCUCGUCAUUAAUGACGAGACGAGAUAAGGGUGAAAACGCGAGGUAAGAGCUCACGCACCGGUAUGGUAACAUAACGGUAGGGAAAACCUUAUGGGUUGAAAGGUCAAAUAUACCGGGUAUCCGUCAGCUGACGGAUAAGGGCUGCCCGCCCGACGCCCGGGGGGUAGGCCGUUAGAGGCAGGCAGUGAUGCCUGUCCCAGAUAAAUGAUAGAAGCUUUCCCGGGUAAUUCCGGGGAAGAACAGAAUCCCGCUUAUAAGGCUGUUGCACCC